rnacentral:rRNA from 1 species
UAUCCGGAUUUAUUGGGCGUAAAGGGCUCGUAGGCGGCUCGUCGCGUCCGGUGUGAAAGUCCAUCGCUUAACGGUGGAUCUGCGCCGGGUACGGGCGGGCUGGAGUGCGGUAGGGGAGACUGGAAUUCCCGGUGUAACGGUGGAAUGUGUAGAUAUCGGGAAGAACACCGAUGGCGAAGGCAGGUCUCUGGGCCGUCACUGACGCUGAGGAGCGAAAGCGUGGGGAGCGAACAGGAUUAGAUACCCUGGUAGUCCACGCCGUAAACGGUGGACGCUGGAUGUGGGGCACGUUCCACGUGUUCCGUGUCGGAGCUAACGCGUUAAGCGUCCCGCCUGGGGAGUACGGCCGCAAGGCUAAAACUCAAAGAAAUUGACGGGGGCCCGCACAAGCGGCGGAGCAUGCGGAUUAAUUCGAUGCAACGCGAAGAACCUUACCUGGGCUUGACAUGUUCCCGACGACGCCAGAGAUGGCGUUUCCCUU